rnacentral:rRNA from 1 species
AUUGAACGCUGGCGGCAGGCCUAACACAUGCAAGUCGAGCGGAUGAAGGGAGCUUGCUCCUGGGUUCAGCGGCGGACGGGUGAGUAAUGCCUAGGAAUCUGCCUGGUAGUGGGGGAUAACGUCCGGAAACGGGCGCUAAUACCGCAUACGUCCUGAGGGAGAAAGUGGGGGAUCUUCGGACCUCACGCUAUCAGAUGAGCCUAGGUCGGAUUAGCUAGUUGGUGGGGUAAAGGCCUACCAAGGCGACGAUCCGUAACUGGUCUGAGAGGAUGAUCAGUCACACUGGAACUGAGACACGGUCCAGACUCCUACGGGAGGCAGCAGUGGGGAAUAUUGGACAAUGGGCGAAAGCCUGAUCCAGCCAUGCCGCGUGUGUGAAGAAGGUCUUCGGAUUGUAAAGCACUUUAAGUUGGGAGGAAGGGCAGUAAGUUAAUACCUUGCUAUUUUGACGUUACCAACAGAAUAAGCACCGGCUAACUUCGUG